GACAGAGGGUGCAAACGUUGCUCGGAAUCACUGGGCGUAAAGGGCGUGUAGGCGGGACGGUAAGUCGGGCGUGAAAUCCCUGGGCUUAACCUGGGAACUGCAUUUGUGACUGCAUUGCUAGAGUGUGGUAGAGGGAGAUGGAAUUCCGCAUGUAGCAGUGAAAUGCGUAGAUAUGCGGAGGAACACCAAUGGCGAAGGCAAUCUCCUGGACCUGCACUGACGCUCAUGCACGAAAGCGUGGGGAGCAAACAGG
rnacentral:rRNA from 1 species